rnacentral:lncRNA from 1 species
AUGGAUCCUAUUAGGCAUUAUUGGUUCUAUUCUUUUGCCUUUGACACCAGGUCAGCAGGGGCUUCUGCCUGCUUUGUGAAGGGAGCCCCUGGGGCCCAUUCCCUCCCCGAGGGGCUGCACUUGGCAGCUGCCGGGACUUUCACGGCUGAGCCCACUGGGAGCCCCGGAGCUGGCCUGGGGACAAAGGGUGGGGCUGGCCCGGCUGUGAUGCCUCUGGCCCGUGUGACAUCAGGGGAACGGGUCACAAUGGGGCAGCUAGAAAAGACCCUCACAGGUGAUGCUGGCCCAGCACAGCCUGGGCAAGUGCUGAGUGUGCUCGUGGCAGGGCUGGGCUGGGCCAAGGCUGGGGCACGAGCUCCACACCUGGACCAUGGAGCGCAGAUCAGUCCUUGGCCUGGGCUGUGGGUGAGACGCAGAAGAGCAGCCGUGAGGCUGAGAGCAGUGGCCCACAGAGCCGAGGCAGACGCGAGAAGGCGCAGGAGAGAAAUCGAGGCGAGAAGGCUUCGGUUACGGAGGACAGUCAGAGACUUGAGGGAAAUGUGGAGGACCAUGAGGAUGCUAAAGAAGAGAAUGGCCAGGCUGAUUCGAGUGACUCGGACUGUGAGCAGGAAGGUGCAGGUGACUUCUUCGCUCCAAGCUCUCCUGGCCCACCUGAACCCACCUGUGACAUCCAGCUCUGUCUCAAAUUCCCAUCCCAGCCAAGCUGCUGUGGAGCUGAAAUCUACCUUGAAAAACAACUGAAAUAAACUCAAGCUGAAAAAUAAACUCA